rnacentral:rRNA from 1 species
UGCCCCAUAGUCUGGGAUACCACUUGGAAACAGGUGCUAAUACCGGAUAAGAAAGCGGAUCGCAUGAUCAGCUUUUAAAAGGCGGCGUAAGCUGUCGCUAUGGGAUGGCCCCGCGGUGCAUUAGCUAGUUGGUAAGGUAAAGGCUUACCAAGGCGAUGAUGCAUAGCCGAGUUGAGAGACUGAUCGGCCACAUGGGACUGAGACACGGCCCAAACUCCUACGGGAGGCAGCAGC